rnacentral:lncRNA from 1 species
UCACAGCACAAACCAAAUCCCGUGUUUGAUGGCUUCGUUUAUUUUACUUAGAAAUAAAUUUAGCUGAAAAUGUGAAUCAACUAGGAUUUGAACUGGAAACCUUAUGUACCAACCAUCAAGUCCUUUGCCACUUGCUCUAGGGGGGUUGAUAUGCUAUUAGUUAUAGCAAUAUUAGGGCUUGUUUAGUGGCGUUGUAUUUUUUUGUUUUAAUAGAAUUUCUACAUGAAAUAGUGUAGGAGGGGAGAGUGCAUUGCUUUCGAACCUUA